rnacentral:rRNA from 1 species
AGAGUUUGAUCCUGGCUCAGAAUCAACGCUGGCGGCGUGCCUAACACAUGCAAGUCGAACGAGAAAGGGUAGCAAUACCUGAGUAAAGUGGCGCACGGGUGAGUAACACGUGACUAACCCUACCCCUGGAGUGGGGAUAACUGAGGGAAACCUUAGCUAAUACCGCAUAACACCUACCGGGUCAAGGAGUAAUCCGCCUUGGGGAGGGGGUCGCGGCGAUUAGUUAGUGGGCGGGGUAAUGCCCACCAGACGAUGAUCGUAUCCGCCUGAGAGGGCCCCGACCCCGGAAACUGAACCCGGUCAGACUCUACGGAGGAGCCGUGGGAAUUUUGCCCAAUGGGGAAACCCGACCCCCACCCGCGGGGAAGAUAGGGGCUCGGUAGUACCCCUUUCGAUCGAACGAUAUGACGGACCAAAAAAAAAAGCCCCGGCUAACC